GGAGAAAUGGCCGAGUGGUUUAAAGCGACUGAUUGCUAAUCGGUUGUAUUAUAAUAAUACCGAGGGUUCAAAUCCCUCUUUCUCCG
rnacentral:tRNA from 1 species